GAAAUUUCAACGUUUCGAAAGGAAAAUGGUUUUAGUGCCUUGCAAGGAAGCUUUUUCACGCAUCUUACGAUAAAAAAAAAUGUUGUGGUAAUUUAAGGACGCUAUUUAAUGAAAAGAGGCAUGCCUAUGCCUAAACCGCUAGUUGGUGGCUUUGGUGCUACUGCUGAUCAUUCCUUGCAGCUUGCAUAUGUAUUUGCGCUGCACUUUUGCUAUCUGUAAAUAUGUAUUUUCACGGAUUGUACAACUCAAACUCAUAUCAAUAUAUAAGUGAUCCCAUGAUACGUUAUAGCAGUAAUAAACUAUUAAUAUCUUUUUCCUUUU
rnacentral:misc_RNA from 1 species